rnacentral:lncRNA from 1 species
CCUUCUUCCUAUCCUCUUCCUCUUCCUUUACUCUCAUAAAUUUAGUAGAGUUUCCCUACGGUCUUUUUCUAAAAAUCUCAUAAUACUCUCACAAAAUCACACACAUUGUACUCCUUCUUUUUCCCUCACCUUUAUGCUUAUCGUUAUUUUCCUCUCAUCCACAAUGUCUCUUCCCCCACUCUCCCAUCCCUUAUUUAUAGGAAUAGGUUGCCACAAGAGAAAGGUUGCCACCAUUUCGGUAUGCUAAUUCACCUAAAAGUUCUUACCUUUAAUUUUGCUACUUCAUCUAAAAGUUGUCAUCUUUCG